AGCCUUGUACACACCGCCCGUCAAGCCACGAAAGGGAGGGGCGUCCGAAGUCGCUGAGCUAACCGUAAGGGGCAGGCGCCGAAGACGAAACUCCUGAUUGGGACU
rnacentral:rRNA from 1 species